UAUACAUACAACAUAAUAAUAUACGUAUAGAUUGAAUUUGUUCCAACUUCCAGCAUCCUCUCAUUCUGUUUCAUUCUUCACGGAAAUUUUCUUUUCCGAAAAUUUCCAAUUUCCGCCAAUUCAUAAUUCAUUUCAAUCUUUCCACAAUUAUUAUGUCAUAGGGUUUCUGGUGUGCUGACAGUAGUAUUGGCGUUCACUCUAUCCUACUGUUGAGUCUCUUCCCUUCUGCACCUGUCUCAAAUGCCAGGCCUAGAAGGAAAUGAGGCUGUUGAUGAGAAAACAGAUAGGAAGUUAGAUCUCGAGAGUUCUGAAGAUGAGAUUCGGUCAUCCAGAACUAGAUCCUUAAAUAAGAAGGCAAUGAAUGCUUCUAACAGAUUCAGCGAUUCGUUGAAAAAGAGACAAAAGAGGAAAGUUCAUUACCAAAUUCCUUCAUUUCCCAUAGAAGAUGUUCGUGAUGCAAAGCAGGAGAAAUAUGUAUGUGAAUUAAGAGAACAACUCCUUGAUAAAAACUUACUGCCAGCUAGACACGACGACUAUCAUACCUUGUUGAGGUUCUUGAAGGCCCGGGAUUUUGACAUUGGAAGAACAAUCCUCAUGUGGGAAGAAAUGCUAAAUUGGCGAAAAGAGUUUGAAGCAGAUACAAUACUAGAGGAUUACAAAUUUGAUGAGCUGGAAGAAGUAUUGCAACAGUAUCCGCAAGGGUACCAUGGAGUUGACAGAGAAGGCAGGCCUGUUUAUAUUGAAAGGCUUGGCAUGGCUCACCCGAGUAAGCUUAUGCAAAUCACUUCAGUUGAUCGUUACCUAAAAUACCACGUUCAAGAGUUUGAACGGGCUUUUAAAGAAAAAUUUCCCGCCUGCUCAAUUGCCGCAAAGAAAAUGAUUAGUUCAACUACAACAAUUUUGGAUGUACAAGGAAUGGGUUUGAAGAAUUUUACUCCAACUGCUGCAAGUAUUCUUGGAGCUGUGACAAAGGUUGACAGUAGCUACUACCCAGAGACACUACAUCAGAUGUUUGUCGUCAAUGCUAGCUCAACGUUUAAGAAUUAUUUAUGGCCUGCUGCUCAAAAGUUUCUGGAUGCAAAAACAAUUCCAAAAAUUCAGGUGCUGGACCCUAAGUCAUUGGAAAAGCUACUUGAGGCCAUUGAUCCAACCCAAUUGCCUGACUUCCUUGGUGGUUCAUGCACUUGUUCUUCUCAGGGUGGUUGUCUUCGGUCUAACAUGGGUCCAUGGAAUGACAUUGAAAUAAUGAGGGUUGUAAACAAUGCCCGCUUCCAACAAAAAAAUGACUCCUGUGUUCAAACCACGGAGGGAGGAAUCGAUAAAUCAAUUAUUGAAUCAGGAUCAGAUGCUGAUGAUCGUUGUUUAACUAGCCCAAAUAGUUUUAAGGUCCCAGAAUCGGUAUCUGUUAGUGAUGAAGCAGUGGCAUCUGAUUCACCCGUUUACUACAGUUGUGAUGAUGACGAUGAUAAUGAAUUAAGUGAAGCUAACACUUCUGAUCAAGGGCUGCAAAUAUCGCCAAGUCAGCAUCCGUCACAUAGAGCUAUUGCCUCUGCGAAGAUGAGCUUCAGAUAUAUAACAAGACCAGUAGUCUUAUUGGCAAAAAAACUUAUAACACCUAUUUGCAGCCUACCUAUUGGAACUAACGCAGAGGGACCCACUCCCACCAUUGAUUCAACUUCUCAUACAGAUCAAAUCGUUCCAUGUUUGGAGCGUUUAAAGAAACUUGAAACGAUGGUGGAGGAACUUAGCACAAAACCCGCUCAGAUUCCCGCCGAGAAAGAGCAGAUGUUGCAACAUUCGAUGGACAGGAUCAAAUCAAUAGAAGUUGAUCUCGAUAAAACCAAGAAAACGCUACAUGCCACUUUAGUCAGGCAACUUGAGAUUUCGGAAUUGAUGGAAAGGCUUCAGCAGUUAAAAUUCUGUCAUAGAAGGUUGUGUUGAAAUUUGAUGUACAGGAGAAAAAGGAAGAGGUAAAUCUUACAAAUGUGAUGGCAUAUGCACAGGAAAAUACCAAGACUAACCUUUUGUUCUUCUUUAUGCUAAUCAUUGGCAGUAAUUUUGCUGGAAUUUGAUGAACUAGAGAAACUGAAAAAAGGUGAAACCUAUGAAUGUGAGGCAUGCAAAGUGCAACAGUAUAACUACCCUUUUCUGUUCUCCAUUGUGCCAAUACUGUUUGAAUAUUGAGAGAAAAGUAGUUACAAUGGAGGGUUAUAUUAUGUUGAUUGAAUAAGGUUUCGUGAAAUGCAAAUUGAGAAGUGAAUACAUGGUCCAAAAGAUUGUGUUUCUUAAA